rnacentral:rRNA from 1 species
UACGGGGGGAGCAAGCGUUGUUCGGAUUUACUGGGCGUAAAGGGCGGGUAGGCGGCCACCGCAAGUCGACUGUGAAAUCUCCGGGCUUAACCCAGAAAGGUCAACUGAUACUGCGGGGCUAGAGUGCAGAAGGGGCAACUGGAAUUCUCGGUGUAGCGGUGAAAUGCGUAGAUAUCGAGAGGAACACCUGCGGCGAAGGCGGGUUGCUGGGCUGACACUGACGCUGAACUGCGAAAGCUAGGGGAGCGAACGGG